rnacentral:rRNA from 1 species
UACGUAGGGUGCAAGCGUUUAUCCGGAUUCACUGGGUUUAAAGGGUGCGUAGGUGGGAAUGUAAGUCAGUGGUGAAAUCUCCGUGCUUAACAUGGAACUGCCAUUGAUACUAUGUUUCUUGAAUUUUUCUGGAGGUCAGCGGAAUAUGUCAUGUAGCGGUGAAAUGCUUAGAUAUGACAUAGAACACCAAUUGCGAAGGCAGCUGACUACAGGGAUAUUGACACUGAGGCACGAAAGCGUGGGGAUCAAACAGG